AUCGAACGCUGGCGGCAGGCCUAACACAUGCAAGUCGAACGAGUGGCGGACGUGUGAGUAAUGUCUGGGAAACUGCCUGAUUGAGGGGGAUAACUAUUGGAAACAGUAGCUAAUACCGCAUACCAUCGGAUGUGCCCAGAUGGGAUUAGCUAGUAGGUGGGGUAACGGCUCACCUAGGCGACGAUCCCUAGCUGGUCUGAGAGGAUGACCAGCCACACUGGGACUGAGACACGGUCCAGACUCCUACGGGAGGCAGCAGUAGGGAAUAUUGCACAAUGGGCGCAAGCCUGAUGCAGCCAUGCCGCGUGUAUGAAGAAGGCCUUCGGGUUGUAAAGUACUUUCAGCGAGGAGGCGUUACUCACAGAGAAAGCAUCGGCUAACUCCGUGCCAGCAGCCGCGGUAAUAC
rnacentral:rRNA from 1 species